UGGUAAAUGACCGCAAGUUGUGUCGGCGUUAUUCACAACAUUGAACUGGGGCAGAGGGGGUGAUGAAGAUAUGAAGUUUGUCAAUGUGCAUUAACCGUCGCAGUUUUCCCGCUAUGUUUACAAAUGAGUAAUUAUUCAGACGCCUUAGUGGAACCCCUGCAUUCAUGCAGAUAAGGCCACAUAAAAAAAAUUACUUGUUUAGCGUCCCCGCCCGACCUGAUAAAAGUCCCCGACCUCCAAUUUUUUUUUUUUUUUUUUUUAAAUCCGUCCGAGUUUAGUGCAAAAACUCUCUAUAAAAACGACCGUUUUACUUGAAAAAAUGGUGAUUUUAUUCUUCUGGGAGCUAUGUAAUACGUUUACUCCUUCCUCGCAGCUAAAGUGUUCGCGCGUGACCGCCAAACGGUAAUCAUUUCUGUUUUAUUAAAAACAUGAACGGUAUUAAAAAACAUGAACGGAUUUUGAAAGAAUUAAAGUGAGUUUUGACUGUGGUAAUAUACUGGAUUUCCUGCAUUUAGCAGAAUUUUGUGUUGCAUUUUCCGAAAAAAAAAAAAAAAAAUCCGCCCGCCCGACCUAGGAAAAUUAAAAUGGGUGGACGCUAAACAAGUAAUUUUUUUUAUGUGGCCUAAAU